rnacentral:rRNA from 1 species
UGCCAGACUCCUACGGGAGGCAGCAGUCGGGAAUAUUGCGCAAUGGAGGAAACUCUGACGCAGUGACGCCGCGUGCAGGAAGAAGGUUUUCGGAUUGUAAACUGCUUUAGACAGGGAAGAUAAUGACAGUACCUGUAGAAUAAGCUCCGGCUAACUACGUGCCAGCGGCCGCGGUAAUACGUAGGGAGCAAGCGUUAUCCGGAUUUAUUGGGUGUAAAGGGUGCGUAGACGGGAAAUUAAGUUAGUUGUGAAAUCCCUCGGCUCAACUGAGGAACUGCAACUAAAACUGAUUUUCUUGAGUGCAGGAGAGGUAAGUGGAAUUCCUAGUGUAGCGGUGAAAUGCGUAGAUAUUAGGAGGAACACCAGUGGCGAAGGCGACGUACUGGACUGUAACUGACGUUGAGGCACGAAAGUGUGGGGAGCAAACAGGAUUAGAUACCCCAGUAAGA